rnacentral:rRNA from 1 species
UACAGAGGUCUCAAGCGUUGUUCGGAUUCAUUGGGCGUAAAGGGUGCGUAGGCGGCGCGGUAAGUCGGGUGUGAAAUCUCGGGCUUAACUCCGAAACUUGCAUUCGAUACUGCCGUGCUUGAGGACUGGAGAGGAGACUGGAAUUAGGUGUAGCGUGAAAUGCGUAGAUAUCAUAGGAAGACCAGUGGCGAAGGCGGGUCUCUGGACAUUUCCUGACGCUGAGGCACGAAAGCCAGGGGAGCAAACGGG